GUGAGGAAUAUUGGUCAAUGGGCGGGAGCCUGAACCAGCCAAGUCGCGUGAAGGAAGAAGGAUCUAUGGUUCGUAAACUUCUUUUGCAGGGGAAUAAAGUGCAGGACGUGUUCUGUUUUGUAUGUACCCUGAGAAUAAGGAUCGGCUAACUCCGUGCCAGCAGCCGCGGUAAUACGGAGGAUCCGAGCGUUAUCCGGAUUUAUUGGGUUUAAAGGGUGCGUAGGUGGUUUGAUAAGUCAGCGGUGAAAGUUUGCAGCUUAACUGUAAAAAUGCCGUUGAAACUGUCGGACUUGAGUGUAAAUGAGGUAGGCGGAAUGCGUGGUGUAGCGGUGAAAUGCAUAGAUAUCACGCAGAACUCCGAUUGCGAAGGCAGCUUACUAAGCUACAACUGACACUGAAGCACGAAAGCGUGGGGAUCAAACAGGAUUAGAAACCCCAGUAGUCC
rnacentral:rRNA from 1 species